rnacentral:rRNA from 1 species
UACGGAGGGGGGCUAGCGUUGUUCGGAAUUACUGGGCGUAAAAGCGCACGUAGGCGGCUUUGUAAGUUAGAGGUGAAAGCCCGGGGCUCAACUCCGGAAUUGCCUUUAAGACUGCAUCGCUAGAAUUGUGGAGAGGUAAGUGGAAUUCCGAGUGUAGAGGUGAAAUUCGUAGAUAUUCGGAAGAACACCAGUGGCGAAGGCGACUUACUGGACACAUAUUGACGCUGAGGUGCGAAAAGCGUGGGGAGCAAACAGG